AGUGAACGCUGGCGGUAGGCCUAACACAUGCAAGUCGAACGGCAGCACAGUAAGAGCUUGCUCUUACGGGUGGCGAGUGGCGGACGGGUGAGGAAUACAUCGGAAUCUACUUUUUCGUGGGGGAUAACGUAGGGAAACUUAUGCUAAUACCGCAUACGACCUACGGGUGAAAGCAGGGGAUCUUCGGACCUUGCGCGAUUGAAUGAGCCGAUGUCGGAUUAGCUAGUUGGCGGGGUAAAGGCCCACCAAGGCGACGAUCCGUAGCUGGUCUGAGAGGAUGAUCAGCCACACUGGAACUGAGACACGGUCCAGACUCCUACGGGAGGCAGCAGUGGUGAAUAUUGGACAAUGGGCGCAAGCCUGAUCCAGCCAUACCGCGUGGGUGAAGAAGGCCUUCGGGUUGUAAAGCCCUUUUGUUGGGAAAGAAAAGCAGCAGGUUAAUACCCCGCUGUUCUGACGGUACCCAAAGAAUAAGCACCGGCUAACUUCGUG
rnacentral:rRNA from 1 species